rnacentral:lncRNA from 1 species
CAGGACUUGCAUAGGAAUUGCAACACCUGUGGCCUAGACUGCCCCUCAAGUUCACUUAGGGCCCCAGAGCACUCCAGCACACAGUGGCAGGGCUUUUAUCAAGUCAUGCUGGGAUAGAUAAUUCUGUCUGGUUAGGGCCAGUCCAAAUGCUCCCUCUGUGGGCAGAUGUCAGCUGAGUACAGCCCAGUUCUGCUUUCCACUGUGAUGGGGCAGCACUGAGUUCAGUGCAAAACCUCAUAAUCACCACACUCUCCCUCUUCAAAGCACACAGAUUCUCCACACCAUGCAGCCACUUCUGAGGAAUGGGGAACAGGUGGCAUCAGCACUUCAAGACUGUCUUUCUUGCUCUCUUCAAUAAUUCUUUCACUGAUAGAAGUUAAAACCAGGCAGAGGUGGCUGAGCAGUCCUGGUCUCAGAAUUCUCUCACGUUCCUGGUAAUUGACUAUUGGUUGAUCUUGGCUGAGAUGACUCUGGUGACUUGCCGGUUCCCACGUUGUGUGUCCCAUCCUCCAGGAGCCAGACUGGGCAUGUUGUCAUGGUGAUGACAGAAGGCAAGAACAGAAACGUAAAUGGAAACAUGGAGAAAGCCUGCUAUAUCUACUGGAAUAAAAAAGGAAGCAGAGAAAAUGGAAUCUAGACAAAUGGAUAUCCGGAUCCAGCUGGACAAAGCCCUGUGAUGUUAAAGCCACCAGUCUGACUCUGUAGGACACUGUCGCUACCACAUCCCAAAAGGAAAUGUACCCAGCCUGCCUACUUGCCACUCAGCAUCCCUCCCAGGGGAAAGAGCUAUGCCUUAGGGGUGUGAUGUCACAAACAAGUCAACCAUCGUUUAGAGGCAUCAUUUCAAGGUUCCCCCUCUCUGCUUCUCAGCUUACUUUCCCUCUGCUGCUGUCACCUGGCUGUCAGCAUCCAAAUUAGCACAGAGCCCCAACCCAAGCAAGCAUCAACUGGAUUGUCAGCCCAGUGAAUGACCCACCCUGGGGACCUGCUGUUAUACCCUGCCUCAGCUGUCACCUUCCUGUGGCCUUCCUCUUUCCCCGGGCAUGCAGAGCCAUGAAAACAGCAGUAAGCUUCUCCCUGAGAAAGAAAAAGCUGCGUGUAAGGUCAGGUAAACACAGGGCCAGAGAAAGCUCUCCCUUCCCCCAUCCCACAGACACAUCUUAUCCUCGCCCCAAGCUAAGGACCUCUAAAUCCAGCCACAGUAGCAAUGCUGGGAUGGCAGGAAAAUGUUCAGCCUGGAAACCACAACCUCUGCAGCACAGCAGCCAGCACCAGUGAAGGACAUGGAGUUAAAUCGAAAAGGAAUUUGAAUGACAAAGUGACAUUAUGUCUAUCUCCCUAAUGAUGGGACAAGUUGGUCUUCUGUCAUUGGCAAGGCAAAACUGCCAGGACCAGAUGUGUAUUUAAAAGCUAUUUCUCAUGGUUUUAAGUCACCAGGUCAGCUCGAUACCUAAAACAAAGAGAAUGAAUUAUGGAACAGGACGAGGGGAGCUUGUUAAUUUUCCUACUGAUGCACUGUGAAAUGAAAGCUUUAUUCUAAGAAUGGUAUAUCCUCAGGGCUCUCUCUGGAGAGACAAAUUCAAAUGUCCUUACUGUUUUCUUUGUCCCUUACUUUAUGGCUUUUUCUGUACACAUUUACGAAGUAUAUAUAUUUCAUGGUAUGUCUGUGUCUAUAGGACUCAGGGAGUUCAAGUCUGUGAUUCUCUUUAGGGCUUCCUUGACAAUAAGGAGUGCUUAGGUGAUGUUAUUGAUGAAUACACACACACACACACAAUUAGAAUUUGUGGCCAGCCUGUCUGUAUAUAUUAUAGAGACAUCCAUGCAGGCUGCUUGCUAUUGUCUGCACUAGUGAGCUAUAGCCCAUCUCCAAUUGGAACCCAAUGAAAUAAUCAUAACAAUUUUGCCUUCAUGUAUCACCUUUCAUCAGGGAGGAUGAAAGGACUUCACAAACUCUGGGUUCUUCUUUGAUCUAGGCGCCUAUCUGGUACACCGAUCUCCAUUGUGUAUUCUGCCCUCACCCUGCCGAUGGGCCUCCCAUUGACAGUAAUUGAACUUCCAUAUGCAGAGCAGCCAAAAGGCCGGCCUGGCCAGAGAGACUUCUGUCAGCUGCCAGGAGGGAGAGGGCUGCUUCCAGAAGGGACUUGGGUUGCUGUUCUGCAUCUGCAACAGGGGGCAGGGAUUAUAAAUGUGGGGAAAGAGGCAAGUAAUUCUUAAGCUGCAACUUCAGUUUGAGAGAGGGGUGCUUAAUAGGAGAUGGAGGAACAUUCUAGGUAACAUGAUAAAAUAAAUCUCCAGAAUGUGGGUGUUGCCUAAGGCUCUGCUCUUCACUGUCUUCUCUUCCAUAUCGACUUUAGCUAUUAGCUUUAUGGGAAGGACUCCGAAAUAUGUAUCCCAGGCUCAAACUCUCUUGGGUCUAGCCAGGCAUCUCUAGCUGUCUCCUGGGCAUUUCCAUCCACAUAUUUCACUGGAACAUCAAUCACAGCUUCUACCAAAUAUUAUAUAUGAUUCUUCCUCCUCCUUCACUCUCAAAUAGCUCCCUUCCCUGACCUUCCUACUUGUAGUCACUGAUGUUACAGCCACAAGUAAUUUAGCCAAUAUCUGUGUUCUCGUGGAGCUUGCAUUUUAGAGAGGGGUGAGAGAAUCCAAUAAACAAGCAAUAAAUGAAGAAGAGAAAUAGCAGGAAAUGAUAGUUUAGGUGGUGAUGGGUUAGGGGUGUGGACCUCUUUGGACUGAGUGACCAACAUUGGCUUCUCCAGGGAGGAAACUAUUCCAGGUGCAGGGAACAGCAAGCACCAAAGCCCUGAGAGAGCCAAGGCCCCAAACAGAAAAGAUGCUGAGCUGCUGGAGCAUGAUAACAGGAGAGUGGGAGGAGAUGAGGUUAGAGAGGUGGCCAGUGAUUAGAUGAGGUGAGGCUUUGGUGAUGGGAUGCAGAGUUUGGAAUCUAAGCCAAGUGCUGUCCAAAGCCAGGGAGGGUUUCCAGCAGCGGCUUGUGGGAGCUGAUGUCCAUUAGUAGCACCUCUCAGCUGAGACUUUGAGUCACUUUGACUCUUCUCUGUAUCACACACCUCUCUCCAUACAGGCAGUGUCUAAUGUGGAAUGAGAGAAAGGUUUUGGUAACCCUCCAACUCCCUUUGCUUCUCCCCUCCAGGGUCCCGGACAGAGUUUUCUGUGUUCAAAAGAACUAGAAGCCAAACAGAAAAUAAAGCAUCCUUUUUGUGAUCGCUGGGAAAGGACAACAUACCCUUCAGGCUGUAAAUGUGGCUUAGGCUAGCAGACUAAAGCUUAGUUUCCCAAUUUUUCUGAGAAUAUAGAUCUUGGGACCCACCUGCUCAGGCAUGCUUGCUGUUGGAGGGGGUGAGAAUGGGUGGUCUCAUGGAGAGUGGUUGCUACACCCAUCUCCCAGCUGCUGAGAGUGUUGUCUGCUAAGGAAAUCACAGCUGCCCUCCUCAGAGAAUCGCCAUUGGGAGGUUCCCCACCUUCCCACCAGGGGCAGCAUGUAAUCCAUGACUGGCAUAGGGUACAAAAGGCAGGCCCCUUACCUCUAGGUGAGACAAUUCUGUGGUACAGUUCAUACUCCAGAGCUCCCGUGGGAACAGGUCCAAGAAGUGUCCAGCUGAGACCCCAACCUUGCUCAGUCCUCUGCUGCACCUGGCUUACCUUCCCCCCUUCUCCUGAGAGCAUUUUCUCAAGAGACAUGUGCACUUCAUCAUCUUAUCAGGAUCUGCUUCUACGGAAUGCAACCUAAGACAAGUGGAGAUAGAGCCAGGCCUUUUAAGGAGCCCUGACAAAUCUCUACAAAAUUUCCAUUCACUUCUCCCUUUUAAAUUCAUUCAUUUAUUCAACAAAUACAUUGAAACAUGUUUUGUACACUCUGGCACACAAGAAAUCAGGUAGGCACAGCCCAUUCCCUCAUAGAGCUUACAAACCAGGAAGAAAGGCAGACAUCAAACUGGUAAAUGCAUUCAUUUGGGUGCAUCAUGUUGAGAGUAGUCUUCGUCAUUGUAAUGGGACUGUUUGCCUCCAAGUCCCUAUUUCUAAGACGAUGAAGGAACAGGAGUAAGCCCGGACACCAGAGCCUUUCUUCUGCUUUGCGAGCUGCUGAUAUGUAGCUGGGAUCUCUUUGUGUCCCCGCUGGGCUGACACUCACCAGUGAGCCAAGAAGGGAGGGGUGGUUAAAGGCGUGAGGACCCCGAAGGGGACCCCUUGAAAGUGCUCACUCUUCCUUCUACUAAUUAUUUUGUUUUUUUAAAAGCUUGCCCUGUUUAGUCUCUCAGGAGGUUUUCCUGCCCACGGGGGGUAUGGCUGCCUCCCAGGAGAAUCUGGCCAGGAUUUACACCACCCAGCCCACAAAAUCCUGAACAGCUCAGGACCAGCCCAUGCUAUUGUGAGCUGAGAGUCACUCUUCAGUUCUCAUGAUUGCAGGUAAAUAAAUGUUCCAGCCGUCCCGAGCUCUCACAUGAAGACUACCUGCCAAGGAAUUUUUUCCUCUGGGACCCAUGGCCACAUUGCUGGGCUGAGACUUUCUUGCAUUCAUAGAAUUCCCCUGUUACAACGGCCACUAGUCAGCUCCCAUUGCCUUAGUUUCCUGCUUGAAGGAGGUAGAAGAGAACUGCUGGCUGAUGCUUGUUUAAUUCACUGUGAAGGGUGCAGUUUAAGGAAGAUCUCCCUCAAAGGCAGCCACAUUCCGGACUCCUCUAUAAGUGCUUACUAAUGGAAGAGAUAAUUUGGGGUCAGGGCCAGCUUCGUGGGCCCCUGACCUGUGCAGUUUACAUAGGACUCCACACUUAGAAGGGCCCUACUCUUGGUUUAAUGUUCUGUUAUUGCUGUCUUAAAAUUCUUAAUAAUUUCUAAACAAGGGUCCCUACCUUUUCAUCUUACCUUAGGCCCCACAGAUUAUGUAGCUAGUCUGGUUUGGGAUCAUGCAUCAAGACUUGUUCCAGGUUGCCUGCCAAGAGGCAGAGAGAAAGGUAAAACUUCCCUUGGAUCUCUUUCACCCCAGGAUGCUGGUGAAUUCUAAAGGCACAGGGGCAGAUUUCUGCAGUUGAACAGUGUCUCUGGGGAGAGUAUAUUCACAAUACAGAACCAUCAGUCUGUACAGAGCCCAACGUGGUGGACAGUUGCUGACUGUCAGGGGUAGCUGCAGAGGGAGAAUGGAGAUGUAGGAGCAGGAAAAAUCUGCUUGAUUGUGAAUAGAACUAGAUCUGUUUUUUCUUGGUAUGGCAGGUGUUUGGAGCUGAUCAUUUUUCUUAGGGAGCAUCUGGGGGCUCCUUGAAGGUCUCCUGUUGGCCCUUCACUGGGUGUUCCCUUCAUCCUAACAGAUGCUUCUCGCUUCCAGGAGUCAGUUGAGGGCUCUUCCACAGCCCCUAGAGAUCCAGCAUCUCCCCUCAGCUCCUGGGGCCCCUGUUGAGAUGAACCCAAGCAAAUCCCA